GCCCUGGUAACUCAAUGGUUAAGCAUUCAGCUGCUAACUGAAAGGUCAGUGGUUCAAAUCCACCAAAUGGCU
rnacentral:tRNA from 1 species